rnacentral:rRNA from 1 species
GACGAACGCUGGCGGCGCGCUUAACACAUGCCAGUCGAACGGAAAGGCCUGCUUUCCCUUGUGGAUUGCGGGUACUCGAGUGGCGAACGGGUGGGUAACACGUGAGUGAUCUGCCCCCAACUUGGGUAUAAGCCUGGGAAACUGGGUCUAAUUCCCGAUAGGACUGCAGGGUGGUGCCUGUGGUGGAAAACGAUUUUCUAGUGGUUGGGGAUGAGCUCGCGGCCUAUCAGCUUGUUGGUGGGGUAAUGGCCUACCAAGGCGGCGACGGGUAGCCGGCCUGAGAGGGUGGACGGCCACAUUGGGACUGAGAUACGGCCCAGACUCCUACGGGAGGCAGCAGUGGGGAAUAUUGCACAAUGGGCGGAAGCCUGAUGCAGCGACGCCGCGUGGGGGAUGACGGCCUUCGGGUUGUAAACUCCUUUCGACCGCGAGGAAGCCACCUGGUUGGAAGGGUGGUGACGGUAGUGGUAGAAGAAGCACCGGCUAACUACGUG